rnacentral:snRNA from 1 species
AUCGCUUCUCGGCCUUUUGGCUAAGAUCAAGUGUAGUUUCUGUUGAGUGUGUGCCAAACGUGAGGGGCUUCCUAGGUGACCCUGU